rnacentral:pre_miRNA from 1 species
AUGAACUUGUUCUCACUGGGGAUUUUGUUUGUCUAUAUGUACUGAUAACAUCAUACUGGCCUGCAAAAUCCCAACUGGGGAGAGUUAA